UUCCGUGGCUUCCAGUAAGGUUUGCAGAUGAGGUUUUCUGGCUGUAGCAAUAAUUCACAUGGCCGAGUUCGGAAAAAGAAUGGGUGAUAAUUACUUUCAUUUUUAAUGGAAGGAAAAGGCACAAUCUUGACAAAGUAAUCUGUUUCAAACUUCAGAUUUGCAAAGGGAUUGGAUUCCAUUCCUGUUCUUUUAAAACUUGGGCUGAGCUGCUUUGGAUCUCUUAAAACCAUCUGCUGACAUUGCCUUCCCUCUGAUUUUAACUCUUCAAGUAUUACACGGAAUCCUCUCAGGUAUUCAAUCCCAAUGGCAUUUGCUGUCCAAAGUAUUGUGACUGCAACUUGUUCAUAACAUGCAUACUGACUGAUUGUUAUAUUCUGCACAUCUCCAAUCACAUGCUUUCCCACUGAAUUCAGGUAAGGAGUGCAGUUGUCAUAUUUAAAGGUGAUAUUGAGAAGCCCAUUGCUCUUGGUGACAGAUGACAGGCCCCGCCCUCCGCAGGCGUCGGCCGCCGCCCCCCUCCUGCCGCCGGGCCCCCCGGCCGCCUCCGCGAGCCGCCGUCCCCCGCAGAAGGCGAGGAGAGCGAGGAGGAAGGCGCCGAGCUCCCGCCCCGGGGCCAUGGUCCGCAGCAGCGGCCGCGGAGCGCGGGCAGCGCGGCGGCGGCGUGGCGGAGAGCGGCCGCGUGCAUGCGCGCCGCCGUCCCGGGGCGGGGGGCUGCGCCUCGGCGGGCACGCGCG
rnacentral:lncRNA from 1 species